rfam:Ictidomys tridecemlineatus contig026992, whole genome shotgun sequence.
GGGAUUGUGGCUCAGCAGUAGAGCGCUCGCCUGGCAUGCGAGGGGCCCUGGGUUCAAUCCUCAGCACCA